UUCCUACGGGAGGCAGCAGUGGGGAAUAUUGCACAAUGGGCGAAAGCCUGAUGCAGCAACGCCGCCUGAAGGACGACGGCCUUCGGGUUGUAACCUCUUUUAGCAGGGAGAAGCGAAAGUGACGGUACCUGCAGAAAAAGCGCCGGCUAACUACGUGCCAGCAGCCGCGGUAAUACGUAGGGCGCAAGCGUUAUCCGGAAUUAUUGGGCGUAAAGAGCUCGUAGGCGGUUUGUCGCGUCUGCUGUGAAAUCCCGAGGCUCAACCUCGGGUCUGCAGUGGGUACGGGCAGACUAGAGUGCGGUAGGGGAGAUUGGAAUUCCUGGUGUAGCGGUGGAAUGCGCAGAUAUCAGGAGGAACACCGAUGGCGAAGGCAGAUCUCUGGGCCGUAACUGACGCUGAGGAGCGAAAGGGUGGGGAGCAAACAGGCUUAGAUACCCUGGUAGUCCACCCCGUAAACGUUGGGAACUAGUUGUGGGGUCCAUUCCACGGAUUCCGUGACGCAGCUAACGCAUUAAGUUCCCCGCCUGGGGAGUACGGCCGCAAGGCUAAAACUCAAAGGAAUUGACGGGGACCCGCACAAGCGGCGGAGCAUGCGGAUUAAUUCGAUGCAACGCGAAGAACCUUACCAAGGCUUGACAUAUACGAGAACGGGCCAGAAAUGGUCAACUCUUUGGACACUCGUAAACAGGUGGUGCAUGGUUGUCGUCAGCUCGUGUCGUGAGAUGUUGGGUUAAGUCCCGCAACGAGCGCAACCCUCGUUCUAUGUUGCCAGCACGUAAUGGUGGGAACUCAUGGGAUACUGCCGGGGUCAACUCGGAGGAAGGUGGGGAUGACGUCAAAUCAUCAUGCCCCUUAUGUCUUGGGCUUCACGCNUGCUACAAUGGCCGGUACAAAGGGCUGCAAUACCGUAAGGUGGAGCGAAUCCCAAAAAGCCGGUCCCAGUUCGGAUUGAGGUCUGCAACUCGACCUCAUGAAGUCGGAGUCGCUAGUAAUCGCAGAUCAGCAACGCUGCGGUGAAUACGUUCCCGGGUCUUGUACACACCGCCCGUCAAGUCAUGAAAGUCGGUAACACCUGAAGCCGGUGGCCCAACCC
rnacentral:rRNA from 1 species